AUUGCCUCUCGAAUAACCGGAAGGCGUGUGAUGCAGAAUCGCCCUUCGGUCCAGACAGGAGGCGCAAAACCAGUGAAAGGGACCCUUUCCCCGAAUCGGUUUGAGAGUGAGGAACCGUCUUUUCCUUGGUUCCUUUCCUAGAUAGAUUCGGAUAUUU